GGAGUCACGCCAGAAAUCUUACCCGGAGAGACAGCAGAAUGAAGGUCAAGCUGAAGACUUUACCAGACAAGCUGAGAGGUGGUGCAUGGCCGUCGCCAGCUCGUGCCGUGAGAUGUCCUGUUAAGUCAGGUAACGAGCGAGAUCCCUGCCUCUAGUUGCCACCAUUACUCUCAGGAGUAGUGGGGCGAAUUAGCGGGACCGCCGCAGUUAAUGCGGAGGAAGGAAGGGGCCACGGCAGGUCAGUAUGCCCCGAAACUCUGGGGCCACACGCGGGCUGCAAUGGUAACGACAAUUGGCUUCGAAUCCGAAAGGAUGAGGUAAUCCUCAAACGUUACCACAGUUAUGACUGAGGGCUGCAACUCGCCCUCACGAAUAUGGAAUCCCUAGUAACUGCGUGUCAUUAUCGCGCGGUGAAUACGUCCCUGCUCCUUGCACACACCGCCCGUCGUUUCAUUGAAGUGAGCUUUUAGCGAGGUGACGUCUAAUUGGCGUUAUCGAACUUGAGGUUCGUGACAAGGGAAAAGUCGUAACAAGGUGACCGUAGGGGAACCUGCGGUCGGAUCA
rnacentral:rRNA from 1 species